AACGAACGCUGGCGGCGCGUAUUAAGCAUGCAAGUCGAACGGGAAUGAGAGGCUUCGGUCUUUCAUGAGAGUGGCGAACGGGUGAGUAACACGUAGGUGAUCUACCUUUGGGUGGGGAAUAGCCCAUGGAAACAUGGGGUAAUACCGCAUGAGGUCUUGAUCUUGAGGGGUCUUGAUAAAAGGAGCAAUUGUUCUGCCUGGGGAUGAGCCUGCGGUCCAUUAGCUAGUUGGAGAGGUAAGAGCUCUCCAAGGCGACGAUGGGUAGCCGGCCUGAGAGGGUGAACGGCCACACUGGGACUGAGACACGGCCCAGACUCCUACGGGAGGCAGCAGCUAAGAAUCUUCCGCAAUGGGGGCAACCCUGACGGAGCGACGCCGCGUGGGCGAAGAAGGCCGCAAGGUUGUAAAGCCCUUUUCUUGACGAAGAAUAAGGCGAGGAGUGGAAUGCCUUGCUGAUGACGUUAGUCGAGGAAGAAGCCCCGGCCAAUUACGUG
rnacentral:rRNA from 1 species